AUUCAGAGAAACCCUGGAAUAAAAAAAUGGGCAAUCCUGAGCCAACUCCUCCUUUCCAAAAGGAAGAAUAAAACAGGAUAGGUGCAGAGACUCAAUGGAAGCUGUUCUAACAAAUGGAGUUGACGAUCUUGCGUUUUUAGUUAUUAAAGGAUGAAGAAUAAACCUAUACGCAGAAUACUUAAAUAUAAAUACUAUAUAACUAGUUAUUAUAUAAUAUAACUUAACUAAUUAUUUAAUAUUUAAUUAAAAAUUUUUAAUAAGAAUAUUAAUAAUAAUAAAACUAGAUAUAUUAUAUCAAAAUUAAAUUAAAAAAUAUUGAUGACGACCCACAUUUUUUAUGACUAUGAAAAGAUGGAAGAAUUGUUGUGAAGCGAUUCCAAGUUGAAGAAAGAAUCGACUAUUCGUUUAAUGUUUAAUAAAUUAAAGCAUUGAGAAGAACCGAUCCAUCGGAUGAGAAUGAAGAUAGAGUCCCAUUCUACGUGUCAAUCCUGACAACAAUGAAAUUUAUAGUAAGAGGA
rnacentral:precursor_RNA from 1 species